AGAGUUUGAUCCUGGCUCAGGACGAACGCUGGCGGCGUGCUUGAUACAUGCAAGUCAAGGAGAACAUUUCCUUCGGGAAAUUAUUAAACUGGCGAACGGGUGAGUAACACGUAGGCAACCUACCCUAGAGAUUGGGAUAACUCCGGGAAACCGGAGCUAAUACCGAAUAAUGCAGCGGAUCCUUCGGGAUAUUGUUGUUAAAGCGGGCUUCGGCUCGCACUUUUGGAUGGGCCUGCGCCCGAUUAGCUUGUUGGUAAGGUAAUGGCUUACCAAGGCCAUGAUCGGUAGCUGGUCUGAGAGGAUGAUCAGCCACACUGGGAUUGAGAUACGGCCCAGACUUCUACGGAAGGCAGCAGUAAGGAAUUUUGCGCAAUGGACGAAAGUCUGACGCAGCAACGCCGCGUGAUCGAUGAAGCUUCUAGGAGUGUAAAGAUCUGUCGUAAGGGAAGAAAAACCUGGAUGUAAAUAAUGUUCAGAUUUGACGGUACCUUUCAAGAAAGCACCGGCUAACUUCGUGCCAGCAGCCGCGGUAAUACGAGGGGUGCUAGCGUUGUCCGGAAUAACUGGGCGUAAAGGGUUCGUAGGCGUUUUACCAAGUUGAUUGUUAAAUCCACCGGCUUAACCGGUGACCUGCAAUCAAAACUGGUAGAAUAGAAUAUGUGAGAGGAAUGUGGAAUUCCUGGUGUAGCGGUGACAUGCGUAGAUAUCAGGAGGAACACCAAUGGCGAAGGCAGCAUUCUGGCACAAUAUUGACGCUGAGGAACGAAAGCGUGGGGAGCGAACAGGAUUAGAUACCCUGGUAGUCCACGCCGUAAACGAUGAGUACUUGAUGGUGGAAGAUUCGACCCU
rnacentral:rRNA from 1 species